UCUGACGGAGCAACGCCGCGUGAGUGAUGAAGGUUUUCGGAUCGUAAAGCUCUGUUGUUAGGGAAGAACAAGUGCGAGAGUAACUGCUCGCACCUUGACGGUACCUAACCAGAAAGCCACGGCUAACUACGUGCCAGCAGCCGCGGUAAUACGUAGGUGGCAAGCGUUGUCCGGAAUUAUUGGGCGUAAAGGGCUCGCAGGCGGUUUCUUAAGUCUGAUGUGAAAGCCCCCGGCUCAACCGGGGAGGGUCAUUGGAAACUGGGAAACUUGAGUGCAGAAGAGGAGAGUGGAAUUCCACGUGUAGCGGUGAAAUGCGUAGAGAUGUGGAGGAACACCAGUGGCGAAGGCGACUCUCUGGUCUGUAACUGACGCUGAGGAGCGAAAGCGUGGGGAGCGAACAGGAUUAGAUACCCUGGUAGUCCACGCCGUAAACGAUGAGUGCUAAGUGUUAGGGGGUUUCCGCCCCUUAGUGCUGCAGCUAACGCAUUAAGCACUCCGCCUGGG
rnacentral:rRNA from 1 species